rnacentral:rRNA from 1 species
UUCGGGAAGUUUUCAUAAUAAGCUCUGCUUAAACAAACUUAAUCAUAAAGUUUGACCUCAAAUCAGGUAGGAUUACCCGCUGAACUUAAGCAUAUCAAUAAGCGGAGGAAAAGAAACCAACAGGGAUUGCCUUAGUAGCGGCGAGUGAAGCGGCAAGAGCUCAAAUUUGAAAUCUGGUACCUUCGGUGCCCGAGUUGUAAUUUGAAGAUCAUAUACUUGGAAUUGGUCCUUGUCUAUGUUCCUUGGAACAGGACGUCACAGAGGGUGAGAAUCCCGUGCGAUGAGGAUACCUUUUCUUUAUAAGUUGUGUUCGACGAGUCGAGUUGUUUGGGAAUGCAGCUCAAAGUGGGUGGUAAAUUCCAUCUAAAGCUAAAUAUUGGCGAGAGACCGAUAGCGAACAAGUACAGUGAUGGAAAGAUGAAAAGAACUUUGAAAAGAGAGUGAAAAAGUACGUGAAAUUGUUGAAAGGGAAGGGUAUUUGAUCAGACUUGGUAUUUAGUUAUCUUUUUCCCUUGUGGUUGAGGCUCUAACUUUUUACUGGGCCAGCAUCAGUUUUGGUGGCAAGAUAAUCGCGUUUGAAUGUGGCUCCUCGGAGUGUUAUAGCUUUCGUUGAUAUUGCCUACCGGGACUGAGGUCUGCGGCUUUUGCCUAGGAUGCUGGCGUAAUGAU